AGUGAACGCUGGCGGUAGGCCUAACACAUGCAAGUCGAACGGCAGCACAGUAAGAGCUUGCUCUUACGGGUGGCGAGUGGCGGACGGGUGAGGAAUACAUCGGAAUCUACUUUUUCGUGGGGGAUAACGUAGGGAAACUUACGCUAAUACCGCAUACGACCUACGGGUGAAAGCAGGGGAUCUUCGGACCUUGCGCGAUUGAAUGAGCCGAUGUCGGAUUAGCUAGUUGGCGGGGUAAAGGCCCACCAAGGCGACGAUCCGUAGCUGGUCUGAGAGGAUGGUCAGCCACACUGGAACUUGGAAACGGUCCAGACUCCUAAGGGAGGCAGCAGUGGGGAAUAUUGGACAAUGGGGGGAAGCCUGAUCCAGCCAUACCGCGUGGGUGGAGAAGGCCUUCGGGUUGUAAAGACCUUUUGUUGGGAAAGAAAAGCAGCAGGUUAAUACCCCGCUGUUCUGACGGUAACCAAAGAAUAAGCACCGGCUAAAUUCGUG
rnacentral:rRNA from 1 species